UACGAGAGGUGCAAGCGUUGUUCGGAAUUAUUGGGCGUAAAGCGCACGUAGGCGGGUUUGUAUGUCGGUUGUGAAAUCCCAGAGCUCAACUCUGGAAUUGCAGCCGAAACUGCAAAUCUUGAAUACUUGAUAGGGUGGGAGAAUUCCUGGUGGAGCAGUGAAAUGCGUAGAGAUCAGGAGGAAUACCGGAGGCGAAGGCGCCUGCCUGGCAAGAUAUUGACGCUGAGGUGCGAAAGCAUGGGGAGCAAACAGG
rnacentral:rRNA from 1 species